UCUGUUGUAGUUUAGUUGGUCAGGAUACUCGUCUCUCACCCAAGAGACCCAGGUUCAAGUCCCGACAACAAAA
rfam:Picea glauca, whole genome shotgun sequence.